GACCUUUGCUGUGAACUCAUAUACAGUUUAGCUUUAGAGACUAACUUCUUGUUGAUAAGGAAGUCGCGUACUACUCAAAGCUAUCUAUCGCCUAGCCUUAUAUCCGAAUCUACCAGCUGUCAGCCAGAUAUAGGUAAAAGAAAGAUGAGGGAUAUGAAGGCCUGCCUGUUUUGUGUCUGUUUGACUCUCUUGUUGGCGACUGCCUUUACAGCUACCACCACUCCCAUGACUGUGACCCCAGACAGUUCAGCCUGUGCCAACCCAAAGGUUUCCGGACCAUGUAAGGGGUUCUUCCCACGGUACUAUUUCGACAAUACAGCAAUGGACUGUUUGGAAUUUAUCUACGGAGGAUGUGACGGAAACGAUAACAAUUUCCUGACUCUGGAAAACUGUGAAAUGAUAUGUAAAAGUUAAAUAUCAAAACCUAUGAAGGUAAUAAAAAAAAAUCAUAAAAUUUAAUGCCUAAAUAUUUCCUUAGUUACUCUGACAUGUGCUUUCAAUAACUUUGAAUGCUUACUUGUUGACACCGAUAUGUGCAUAAUUCCAUUUGCUCUGCAUUUUCACUAUAUAACCAUACCAAGCAAAAUAAAAUUUUAUGAUAUCAUAAUUCCCACAUAAUUGCUGUACACAUAUAUAUGAGAAGUUCGUAACGUCAUCACUAAAUGAUGCCGUUUUGCCAGAUGUUUCGAAAAUUCGUUCAACAGGAUUUAAAAAAACCCGAUUGAUAAAUGUUAUUUGCAAUAAUUUAGGGUAUACCAUGUUAGUUAUGCUCUCUAAAAGGUGACUACAUUGUAUACACACGACGAAAUAUACUGAUUAAGAUGUUGAAAUCAAA